UACCCGCUGAACUUAAGCAUAUCAUAGGCCGGAGGAA
rnacentral:rRNA from 1 species